rnacentral:rRNA from 1 species
CCAAUAGCGUAUAUUAAAGUUGUUGCAGUUAAAAAGCUCGUAGUUGAAUUUCGGGAUCAAGGGAUUGGUCAUGCCUUGGUAUGCACUGGUCUUAUUGGUUCUCACCUUCUAAGGAACCAUGAUGUCAUUUAUUUGAUGUUGUGGGGAAUUAGGACUGUUACCUUGAAAAAAUUAGAGUGUUUAAAGCAAGCUUACGCUUGAAUACAUUAGCAUGGAAUAAUGAAAUAGGACAUCAGAUUCUAUUUUGUUGGUUUCUAGGAUCGAUGUAAUGAUUAAUAGGGAUAGUUGGGGGCAUUAGUAUUCAAUUGUCAGAGGUGAAAUUCUUGGAUUUAUUGAAGACUAACUACUGCGAAAGCAUUUGCCAAGGAUGUUUUCAUUAAUCAAGAACGAAAGUUAGGGGAUCGAAGACGAUCAGAUACCGUCGUAGUCUUAACCAUAAACUAUGCCGACUAGGGAUCGGAUGAUGUUAAUUUUUUAAUGACUCAUUCGGCACCUUACG